AGUGAACGCUGGCGGCAGGCCUAACACAUGCAAGUCGAGCGGCAGCGCGGGGGCAACCCUGGCGGCGAGCGGCGGACGGGUGAGGAAUUCGUCGGAAUCUGCCUUUUUGUGGGGGAUAACGUAGGGAAACUUACGCUAAUACCGCAUACGUCCUACGGGAGAAAGUGGGGGACCGCAAGGCCUCACGCAGAAAGAUGAGCCGACGACCGAUUAGCUAGUUGGUGGGUAAAGGCCCACCAAGGCGACGAUCGGUAGCUGGUCUGAGAGGAUGUUCAGCCACACUGGGACUGAGACACGGCCCAGACUCCUACGGGAGGCAGCAGUGGGGAAUAUUGGACAAAGGGCGCAAGCCUGAUCCAGCCAUGCCGCGUGUGUGAAGAAGGCCUUCGGGUUGUAAAGCACUUUUGUCCGGAAAGAAAUCCCUGGAGCUAAUACCUUCGGGGGAUGACGGUACCGGAAGAAUAAGCACCGGCUAACUUCGUG
rnacentral:rRNA from 1 species